UCCCUCCCCUAUCUGGUCUGAAAAGACUUAAGAAGACCAUUAUCAAUAGAUGACGGUGUACUCUCUGAUGAGAGUGGUAUUGCACUAUCUAUAGGGGUCACUCAUGGCUAAGUAAUGUCAUGACUAUAGAUAUUUAUUAGGACGACUAUAGUUGGUGCGAUUGUAUUCAUAGAUCGUACCAUGGUUUGGCCAGCCAGAUGUUGGCCUUAGCAAAUUGUCGUAUCUGUAUCUAUAUAUGUAUCUGAUCUGAUCAUUCCACUUGUAUAGUAGAAAAUCUGUAUCUACCCUCCAAGAUGGAAGUUUGUAACAACUUCACGAAGUAUGAUAUGAAAUAUAUGUGCAUUUCAUGAUUUAUUUGAUUUUCUCUAUUAUCUGGCAUAAUGUAUAUAUGAUCUUCU
rnacentral:lncRNA from 1 species